GUGUUCCUUGUAAAACAGAUAUGUCGUAGAUAUGGCAUUGACUGUUUGCACGGUCUGCUGACGAAUCCAAAUCUGAAGUGGAUUGCCCCUCCAGAAGCUCAACAACAGGUUGAAGUUAUACCUGACCGUUUUGUCACUUGUGGAAAAGUGUAUCAAGAUUUACGAGAAGCUAUGGCAACGGCUUUGCUGGAUGGACGAUUUGAGAAAGUGAAAGAAAUCAUCAAGAGAUGCACAAAGAAAAGAGAAUACAAGGAAGCCUUACUCAUGUUGGCUAUCUACAGAGAAUUCACCAUGAGUUACGCC